UGGGGAAUUUUGCGCAAUGGGGGAAACCCUGACGCAGCAACGCCGCGUGGAGGAUGAAGUACUUCGGUACGUAAACUCCUUUCGAUCGGGACGAUUAUGACGGUACCGAGAGAAGAAGUCCCGGCUAACUUCGUGCCAGCAGCCGCGGUAAUACGAGGGGGGCGAGCGUUGUUCGGAAUUAUUGGGCGUAAAGGGUGCGUAGGCGGUUUGGUAAGUCUGAUGUGAAAUCUAUGGGCUCAACUCAUAGUCUGCAUCGGAAACUGCCGGGCUUGAGUAUGGGAGAGGUGAGUGGAAUUCCUGGUGUAGCGGUGAAUGCGUAGAUAUCAGGAGGAACACCUGUGGCGAAAGCGGCUCACUGGACCAUAACUGACGCUGAUGCACGAAAGCUAGGGGAGCAAACAGGAUUAGAUACCCUGGUAGUCCUAGCCCUAAACGAUGACUGCUUGGUGUGACGGGUACCCAAUCCCGCCGUGCCGUAGCUAACGCGUUAAGCAGUCCGCCUGGGGAGUACGGUCGCAAGGCUGAAACUUAAAUGAAUUGACGGGGUCAUAGCUGUUUCCU
rnacentral:rRNA from 1 species